GACGAACGCUGGCGGCGUGCCUAAUACAUGCAAGUCGAGCGCAGGAAACCGUCUGAACCCUUCGGGGGGACGACGGUGGAAUGAGCGGCGGACGGGUGAGUAACACGUAAAGAACCUGCCCAUAGGUCUGGGAUAACCACGAGAAAUCGGGGCUAAUACCGGAUGUGUCAUCGGACCGCAUGGUCCGCUGAUGAAGGGCGCUUCGGCGUCGCCCAUGGAUGGCUUUGCGGUGCAUUAGCUAGUUGGUGGGGUAACGGCCCACCAAAGCGACGAUGCAUAGCCGACCUGAGAGGGGGAUCGGCCACACUGGGACUGAGACACGGCCCAGACUCCUACGGGAGGCAGCAGUAGGGAAUCUUCCACAAUGGACGAAAGUCUGAUGGAGCAACGCCGCGUGAACGAUGAAGGCUUUCGGGUCGUAAAGUUCUGUUGUAAGGGAAGAACAAGUGCCGCAGGCAAUGGCGGCACCUUGACGGUACCUUGCGAGAAAGCCACGGCUAACUACGUGCCAGCCGCCGCGGUAA
rnacentral:rRNA from 1 species